UACGGAGGAUCCAAGCGUUGUCCGGAUUUAUUGGGUUUAAAGGGUGCGUAGGCGGAUCUUUAAGUCAGUGGUGAAAUCCUGCAGCUUAACUGUAGAACAGCCAUUGAAACUGAGGAUCUUGAAUUUGGUUAAAGUAGGCGGAAUGUAUCAUGUAGCGGUGAAAUGCUUAGAUAUGAUACAGAACGCCGAUAGCGAAGGCAGCUUGCUGAACCAAUAUUGACGCUGAGGCACGAAAGCGUGGGGAGCGAACAGG
rnacentral:rRNA from 1 species